CUCGAAGACGCACACAUAGCCCUCGCGCAGCCUGUUGUCAUGAACAAACUUGCUCCAGCGCCGGCAGUUGAAGCCUCGGGUGACGCUCCCAUGAUGAUCAGCUGCAAAUUUGCUGGGGACGAUCUGCAGGCAGAGCAUCAACUUGUUCAAUAUUGGUUAGAUACCACAGUUCAGCAGCAUCAUGGAAUUGGACUAGUAGCGUUGCUACUGAAGGGGUCAAGGCACAUCUACUCUUUAGAUAGUCUUGACUGCAUUUCUUGCUUAUAUCAGUAAGAAAAUCACCAUCUUCAGGUAUUUCUUAGAUUACAUAUUCAGGAACCUAGAACACAGGAAAGACAUCAUCUAAAAAAGGGAAACAUAAAGAUGGAGUACAUGAAGUUUUUGCCCAGGAUCCCAAAUCUAACAGCGAGAAGUUAUAUGCUGUUUCCCCAUUCAAGGCAAACAUUUUGUUCUGGGUUCCUUCCAUUAUCAGCGAUAAUGUAACAAGUAUCCAGCGGUUUUCAGCAAAAACAAAACAAAAGCAGAAGUUCUAUA